UAGGGAAUCUUCCACAAUGGACGCAAGUCUGAUGGAGCAACGCCGCGUGAGUGAAGAAGGUUUUCGGAUCGUAAAGCUCUGUUGUUGGUGAAGAAGGAUAGAGGCAGUAACUGGUCUUUAUUUGACGGUAAUCAACCAGAAAGUCACGGCUAACUACGUGCCAGCAGCCGCGGUAAUACGUAGGUGGCAAGCGUUGUCCGGAUUUAUUGGGCGUAAAGCGAGCGCAGGCGGAAUGAUAAGUCUGAUGUGAAAGCCCACGGCUCAACCGUGGAACUGCAUCGGAAACUGUCAUUCUUGAGUGCAGAAGAUGAGAGUGGAAUUCCAUGUUUAGCGGUGGAAUGCGUAGAUAUAUGGAAGAACACCAGUGGCGAAGGCGGCUCUCUGGUCUGCAACUGACGCUGAGGCUCGAAAGCAUGGGUAGCGAACAGG
rnacentral:rRNA from 1 species